rnacentral:misc_RNA from 1 species
CAAACGUUAUUGGACAACAGCAUA